AUGGUGUGGAAAAUAUGGCUGAAGUCUAAAUACUUAAGUUUUGUUGUUUUCAGAGCUUUAACACUGGAUCUGUUUCGGAUCGGUGCCACUGACGUGUGCUUUAAUUAUCAGCUUCCUUCUUGGAAGUGUUCCAUUGAGGCUCCGAUGCUCCGGUGGGAACGACACACACUCCUCGCUGCAUCUUGUAUCCUAUUUGUGAGGGCUAUCGUGGUCCAAUUACCUUUCUUUGCACAUAUGCAGGCACUCGGCACAGUACACAUCUUCAGUAGCACUAGAAAUUCAUACUUAUUUACUUGGCUUCCUUCGUCAGUGUUUGAUGAUUCAUUUUGCAGCGACAUGUUCUGA
rnacentral:rRNA from 1 species